rnacentral:lncRNA from 1 species
GAAGAAGAAGAAGAAGGAGGAGAAGAAGAAGAGGAGCUUGCUUGAGGGAGCUUGGAGCUCAACCCCCCUUUCUCUCCUUUCCACCCUUGCUUGGCUUGGAGCUUGCUUGUAGAGCUUGGUGGUGGACCAAUCUUCAACCCUAGAAGAUUUGGAGCUUGUUUGGAGGCAUCUUGGGAGGUUAGUACUUGGAUUCUACCCUUUGAUCCUUGAUUUGGUAGGUUUUACCAUAUGGAACCCUAGAAUGGAUAUUAGGGUUGAUUUUUGGGGCUUUUUGAUCUAGGGCUUUUGAGGCUAGAUUGAUUGGAUUAGAACCUUCCUUGGGCUUGGAUUGGAAGGGAUUUAGCUCUCUUUUGGAGCUUGAGAGAGAUUUCCUACACAUUAGGUGAGUUUUAGCCCUUUUGCCAAGUUUGUUAAAGUUUGAUCUUAUAGUUGAUCGUAAUGCCCGUGUAUCU